UACAGGUUUCCUGCGGGAUCAUAUGACCUAUCAAUUUUUUAGGUCGGGCCUGUAGUCUAUUACGCAACGUCAAGUGUAACAAGUGUGUGUGUGUGUCUAGUGUCUUCCAUUAGUUCUUUGGUGUCGUGUGUUUCUUCUGAUUUGCCGACUUGCUACUCCAAAAUUUAUGAGAUGGCGAACAUUAGUGAAAAAAAUAUGUAUGCAGUAGUUGAGUUCACAGUCAAUGAUUCAAAUGUUAAGAAAGAUAUUGAUCUGAUACCAAGCAAGUGAAUCACGGUAGUAAGUGAUGGAUUUUCAUGCCAAUAUCCACCACCCAAUGAUUAUGCUAAGCUGGAAAAAUAUGCUCGUGAAUUACGUGAUGCAAAAAUAAAUUGGCUAACAUACACCAUCAAAAUUCUGGCUUACGCAGAUAAUUUUAAACAUGGACAAAGAGACGCUUAAAUCGUGCGUUUACAACUUUGGACGUGAAGAGUACAGACGACGAAAG